GGCCGGGUAGUUCAGUUGGUUAGAGCGGCGACCUGAUAUGCCGAGGUUACGGGUUCCAUUCCCGGUCAGGGCA
rnacentral:tRNA from 1 species